AAGUCGUAACAAGGUUUCCGUAGGUGAACCUGCGGAAGGAUCAUUACAAAUCCAUCACGUCUCCCACCGAGACACCGUCUAAAUGUUCCGGGAUCAUCGAGCCGCUCAUGGCGUCUUCGAGGACGGGCCGCUAUUAGCGCGCGCAUCUGUUAUCAUCUCUAUUAUCUCCCUUAACCGGGAGAGAGAGAGAAAGAGAGAGAUGUGUGUGUCUUGUGGUCAAUUGUCGUUGCAUGCCUGGCUCGAAUACACCCACCCCCCUUUAAAAACCUAGCGUGACUGUUGCUUCAUAUGUAUUGCUUCUUUGUUGAACACAACACGAGAACAACUUAUAACAAUGGAUCUCUAGGCUCUU
rnacentral:misc_RNA from 1 species